UACCAGCACCCCGAGUGGUCGGGACGUUUAUUGGGCCUAAAGCAUCCGUAGCCGGUUCUACAAGUCUUCCGUUAAAUCCAGCUGCUUAACAGAUGGGCUGCGGAAGAUACUAUGGAGCUAGGAGGCGGGAGAGGCAAGCGGUACUCGAUGGGUAGGGGUAAAAUCCGUUGAUCCAUUGAAGAACACCAGUGGCGAAGGCGGCUCACUGGACCGGCAUUGACGCUGAGGUGCGAAAGCGUGGGGAGCAAACAGG
rnacentral:rRNA from 1 species